CCUACGGGGGGCAGCAGUGGGGAAUAUUGCACAAUGGUGGAAACCCUUAUGCAGCGACGCCGCGUGAAGGAAGAAGUAUUUCGGUAUGUAAACUUCUAUCAGCAGGGGAGAAAAUGACGGUACCUGACUAAGAAGCCCCGGCUAACUACGUGCCAGCAGCCGCGGUAAUACGUAGGGGGCAAGCGUUAUCCGGAUUUACUGGGUGUAAAGGGAGCGUAGGCGGUUUAGCAAGUCAGAAGUGAAAGCCCGGGGCUCAACUCCGGGACUGCUUUUGAAACUGUUGAACUAGAGUGCAGGAGAGGUAAGUGGAAUUCGUAGUGUAGCGGUGAAAUGCGUAGAUAUUAGGAGGAACCCCAGUGGCGAAGGCGGCUUACUGGACUGUAAAUGACGCUGAGGCUCGAAAGCGUGGGGAGCAAACAGGAUUAGAUACCCUUGUAGUC
rnacentral:rRNA from 1 species